rnacentral:rRNA from 1 species
UCGAACGGCAGCACAGGGAGCUUGCUCCCGGGUGGCGAGUGGCGCACGGGUGAGUAAUACAUCGGAACGUGUCCUGUUGUGGGGGAUAACUGCUCGAAAGGGUGGCUAAUACCGCAUGAGACCUGAGGGUGAAAGCGGGGGAUCGCAAGACCUCGCGCAAUUGGAGCGGCCGAUGCCCGAUUAGCUAGUUGGUGAGGUAAAGGCUCACCAAGGCGACGAUCGGUAGCUGGUCUGAGAGGACGACCAGCCACACUGGGACUGAGACACGGCCCAGACUCCUACGGGAGGCAGCAGUGGGGAAUUUUGGACAAUGGGGGCAACCCUGAUCCAGCCAUGCCGCGUGCAGGAUGAAGGCCUUCGGGUUGUAAACUGCUUUUGUCAGGGACGAAAAGGACCGUGUUAAUACCAUGGUCUGCUGACGGUACCUGAAGAAUAAGCACCGGCUAACUACGUGCCAGCAGCCGCGGUAAUACGUAGGGUGCAAGCGUUAAUCGGAAUUACUGGGCGUAAAGCGUGCGCAGGCGGUUCUGUAAGACAGAUGUGAAAUCCCCGGGCUUAACCUGGGAAUUGCAUUUGUGACUGCAGGACUAGAGUUCAUCAGAGGGGGGUGGAAUUCCAAGUGUAGCAGUGAAAUGCGUAGAUAUUUGGAAGAACACCAAUGGCGAAGGCAGCCCCCUGGGAUGCGACUGACGCUCAUGCACGAAAGCGUGAGGAGCAAACAGGAUUAGAUACCCUGGUAGUCCACGCCCUAAACGAUGUCUACUGGU